UAAACUUUCCAUGAUAUUUACCACUAGUAUUCAGUUAGUAUUUCGUGGUAUUUUUUGUAUCAUAGCAACCUUCGCGGCAAAUAAAGGAAAGGCUCUGUUAACAGUAGCUACUCACUUGUCACUAUUUUUCGCGUGUGUGAUGUACAAAGCAAAAUGCAAAGUGUUUGCUGAAACAGGAGGAAGCAUCCUGACGCUCGGACUAAAAUGAAAGGAAAAAGCAGAUGCUUCCUCGACGUUUA